rnacentral:rRNA from 1 species
UACGGGGGGAGCAAGCGUUGUUCGGAUUUACUGGGCGUAAAGGGCGCGUAGGCGGCGUGACAAGUCACUUGUGAAAUCUCCGGGCUUAACCCGGAGCGGUCAAGUGAUACUGUCGUGCUAGAGUGCGGAAGGGGCUACUGGAAUUCUCGGUGUAGCGGUGAAAUGCGUAGAUAUCGAGAGGAACACCUGCGGCGAAGGCGGGUAGCUGGGCCGACACUGACGCUGAUGCGCGAAAGCCAGGGGAGCGAACGGG